UUUCACAUGCUCAAACUCAAAGUGUGAUGCUGCGUUCACACCAGACGCUGAUGAAGCGUCAAGUGUGAGUUAUUUACAUGUUAAGUCAAUGCAAACACAGGAAUAGACAUCCUGCAGUGCGUUUAGCGCAAAUGGAGUUGAGCAUUUUACACACGAAUUGCUCGAGUUAGAAAAUCUGAACUUCAGCAGACAUUCGCGCCAUGCUUUCCAAUCAGGAUCUUUCUCUUGUAGGGGUGUGAUUAUGACGUAGCACCUGUUGUUGGUGUCCCGAGGGGAAAUCCUCUUGUCAACACCAGACAACAGCUCAUGGCUCAGUCUGAAGCACCGCUGAAAGCCUCCAUCAUCCAGUUUUACGUUAAUCCACAACCAACAGUAAAGGUUCAAACUUAUCCCUUGAGUCUGUUGUCUUUGGGAGAUGUUAUCUGACUGCUGAGUCAAGCAAGGCAUUUGAUAUAAAGAGCAGAACAUGGAGUAUUGAACAUGCACCCUUAAUCUAUUCAAGCAGAUUUUUCCAGAAUGGCAGAGGGCCAUCAGCUUUGCUACAUUGGUGCUGAAACCCAGGAGGGAGGAGGAAUAUGCUGUUGGAGAGCCCUCACCACUGAGAGAAGUUCGUGGCUCCAUCGAGCCGGAGGAGCGAAGUCUACCUCAAUUAACACUGGAGGCCAGCUGGAAAAUGAGAGAGGACCAGGACUGGACAUUUGUGUUUUGUGUGCCUCCUUCUUCCUGAUGGCCAGGGGGCCAUGAACUUUGUUACUCUCACAUAGAGCCAUGAGUUUUGGGUCUGAAAUAAGCUUCAUUCACACAAUGGCAGGGCACAUGUCAGAGAUACAGUGAGGAGCUUUGUCACCUAGGAGGAACCCGGAGUACAGCUGCUGCUCCUCCCCAUUGAAAGAAGUUUGCCUCCUGGACAUCUACCUUUUGGGCUCGUUCAACCGUGAGAAGACCCUGAGGAUGACCCAGGACACACUUGAGGACUAGGUGUCUCUGAAAGUGUCUAGGAAGAGGGAAGUAAGAGGUUCUCUCCAGAAUCUGCUAGGGACAGUAUAUCUCAAAUCAGCAGCAGUAUUG